rnacentral:tRNA from 1 species
UCCGGGGUCUUCUAAUUGGCUAGGAAAACCGCCUUUGAAGCGGCGAAUGAACGUUCGAACCGUUCCCCCGGAACCA